GACGGAUUAGCUCAGUUGGUCAGAGUACUACCUUGACAUGGUAGGGGUCACUGGUUCGAGCCCAGUAUUCGUCACCA
rnacentral:tRNA from 1 species